rnacentral:rRNA from 1 species
GACGAACCGAGCGAACGUUAUUCGGAAUCACUGGGCUUAAAGGGCGCGUAGGCGGGCCAUCAAGUCAGGGGUGAAAGCCCCCAGCUCAACUGGGGAAGUGCCUUUGAUACUGGUGGUCUCGAGGGGGAUAGGGGCAUGCGGAACUUCCGGUGUAGCGGUGAAAUGCGUAGAGAUCGGGAAGAACACCGGUGGCGAAAGCGCUCUACUGGACCGUAACUGACACUCAGGGACGAAAGCUAGGGGAGCGAAUGGG